rnacentral:rRNA from 1 species
GCUGUCGUUUUAGAUCUCCUCCCCCUCCCCUUUCGUAAAGGGCACGGGGUGCUCGACCGGUGGCGGCCGCCCGGGGCGCGCGCGCUCCGAGCCCGGGUGGGGCGGAGAAGGGAGAGAGAGAGAGGGUGCGAGCGCCAGUGGGGGACUUCUUCUCCUCCUCUCCUCUCCCCUCCUCGGAAGUAGUGACCGGACGUCACUAUUAUGGGAGAUCAUAGAAAGAAUGGUGAUCAUCCUCCCGGCUCCUGGACGACGACCUCACCAACAAACAGACCAUCUCUCCUCUCCUCUCCUCUCCCUCUACCUUCCUCCUCCGCGCCUCCCGCACUGCUCCCACGACCACCACCUGCUGAGGGGCCAGCUGUCCUUCCACCACCUCGACCACGAGCCGUCGUUGUGGAAGCGGCCGAGGAAGGUGCAGUAGCGGCACCUGUCGCGGUUCUUCCGGUACCUCAAGGACCCCGAGUUCCUGCCGUUCCUCGUCCGGCAGCUGUACCACGAGUGACUGAUGACGUACGGACUCUACUGACCGAUGCUGGAGGAGUUCCGGUAGUUCCGGUACUCAGGAGAGUUCGGGUAGGGCCACUAGCAGUACAGCAGCCUCUUGCUUGGGGUCUCCUAGUCGUCUACGGAGUUCCGACCACGACUUCUAAUGUAGCACUUCGGAGAAGUCUCGUUCCUACACGGCGCGGACUCCUCGACGAGCUUGCGCUUCGGCUUCCUGGGAGGUACGUCGUGACACUCGUUCUCACGCCUGGUGUAUCGACGACAGCUGCCGUUCAGCAGCGAGGCUGCCGCUCGUGUGGAGUGGCUAUAACGGUACCAAGAGGUGAGCAGCUCGCGGCCCGAGAGCGUGAUGAAGGGCAAGGAGAAGUUCAAGUAGGACGACCAGAUGCGGUAGGACACGCAGCCGCUCGAGGACGUGUCUACCAGGUUGCCGACGAAGGAGAGGAUGGACUCCACUACCACGGCGCCAGGUCACUGUACGACGUCGAGACGUUUCUCCUCAUCGAGAACACAGCAUCGAAUACUCACUCGUCACUUGGAGGUACAAAGUUGUUGGUACCUACCUCGAAAUCCAUCAUCUAAGCAAACGAAACUCUAAGAUUGGCCCGCCCGCAGCCAAGAAACGGAACAACCCGACUACUCAACUCCUUCUUGGGGAACAUAGGUAGGAACAUGUUUUGCGUGUUACUCCGUCCGUCAUAGACUACAGGGAAAACCGAACCUAGAACCGACUAGAUGACUACACUGUAGGUCCCUUGAAAAGAAGCGGAAA